rnacentral:lncRNA from 1 species
CAAGAUCGUCGGUGACCCUUCAAAUCUUUAUUGGGAAUUGAAUUUAGUAUAGUUUUCUAGUACAAUAGUUUACUCUUUUUUACUCUAUUCGCAUAACAAGUGGCAUAAGAGCCGAAGGUUAUUUGAAGUAUGCUUUGUUGUUGCGGUUUAAAUUGAUCUUGCACAUCAAAAAAUAUUUCCUUAGACAUAUUGAAAGAUUA